CCCCAGACUCCUACGGGAGGCAGCAGUGGGGAAUAUUGCACAAUGGGGGAAACCCUGAUGCAGCGACGCCGCGUGAGCGAUGAAGUAUUUCGGUAUGUAAAGCUCUAUCAGCAGGGAAGAAGAUGACGGUACCUGACUAAGAAGCCCCGGCUAACUACGUGCCAGCAGCCGCGGUAAUACGUAGGGGGCAAGCGUUAUCCGGAUUUACUGGGUGUAAAGGGAGCGUAGACGGCGGCGCAAGCCAGAUGUGAAAGCCCGGGGCUCAACUCCGGGACUGCAUUUGGAACUGUGUGGCUGGAGUGUCGGAGAGGCAGGCGGAAUUCCUAGUGUAGCGGUGAAAUGCGUAGAUAUUAGGAGGAACACCAGUGGCGAAGGCGGCCUGCUGGACGAUGACUGACGUUGAGGCUCGAAAGCGUGGGGAGCAAACAGGAUUAGAUACCCCUGUA
rnacentral:rRNA from 1 species